rnacentral:rRNA from 1 species
GACGAACGCUGGCGGCGUGCCUAAUACAUGCAAGUCGAGCGGAUCUCGGAUGGAGCUUGCUCCUGAAGAGGUUAGCGGCGGACGGGUGAGUACACGUAGGCAACCUGCCCUUAAGACCGGGAUAACAUUCGGAAACGAAUGCUAAGACCGGAUAGGCAACGAGGUCGCAUGAUCUUGUUGAGAAACACGGUGCAAGCUGUGGCUUAGGGAUGGGCCUGCGGCGCAUUAGCUAGUUGGUGGGGUAACGGCUCACCAAGGCGACGAUGCGUAGCCGACCUGAGAGGGUGAACGGCCACACUGGGACUGAGACACGGCCCAGACUCCUACGGGAGGCAGCAGUAGGGAAUCUUCCACAAUGGGCGCAAGCCUGAUGGAGCAACGCCGCGUGAGUGAGGAAGGCUUUCGGGUCGUAAAGCUCUGUUGCCAGGGAAGAAUAAGGAUGAGGUAACUACUCAUUCGAUGACGGUACCUGAGAAGAAAGCCCCGGCUAACUACGUGCCAGCCGCCGCAGUAAAAC